ACUUCAUUACUCACACCUGCUCCUCAUCAUUACACACACCUGGCAGCCUUCAUUACUCACACCUGCUCCUCAUCAUUACACACACCUGGCAACCUUCACUAUUCACACCUGCUCCUCAUCAUUUCUCACACCUGGCAACCUUCAUUACUCACACCUGCUCCUCAUCAUCAGACACACCUGGCAACCUUCAUUAUUCACACCUGCUCCUCAUCAUCAGACACACCUGGCAACCUUCAUUAUUCACACCUGCUCCUCAUCAUCAGACACACCUGGCAACCUUCACUAUUCACACCUGCUCCUCAUCAUCAGACACACCUGGCAACCUUCAUUAUUCACACCUGCUCCUCAUCAUCAGACACACCUGGCAACCUUCAUUACUCACACCUGCUCCUCAUCAUCAGACACACCUGGCAACCUUCAUUACUCACCUGUUCCUCAUCAUCAGACACACCUGGCAACCUUCAUUACUCACCUGCUCCUCAUCAUUACACACACCUGGCAACCUUCUUUACUCACCUGUUCCUCAUCAUUACACACACCUGGCAACCUUCAUUACUCACCUGCUCCUCAUCAUUACACACAUAUGGCAACCUUCAUUACUCACCUGUUCCUCAUCAUUACACACACCUGGCAACCUUCAUUACUCACCUGUUCCUCAUCAUCAGACACACCUGGCAACCUUCAUUACUCACCUGUUCCUCAUCAUCAGACACACCUGGUUAUGUUUCUAUGUUAGACUGUUGUUAUCUCCCAUCAGUCAGUACUGGUUAUGUUUCUAUGUUAGACUGUUGUUAUCUCCCAUCAGUCAGUACUGGUUAUGUUAGACUGUUGUUAUCUCCCAUCAGCCAGUACUGGUUAUGUUUCUAUGUUAGACUGUUGUUAUCUCCCAUCAGUCAGUACUGGUUAUGUUUCUAUGUUAGACUGUUGUUAUCUCCCAUCAGUCAGUACUGGUUAUGUUUCUAAUUUAGACACUUCUCUUGUUUUGUAUCGUUCCAUGUUCUUCAUCAUUAAACUCACUAACUGCACUUGCUUCCUGACUCCCUGCAUCUGUGUUACACUUUAUGAUCAGACACUAAUCAUUCUGUUGUUACUACUGUAUGAUACUGAGAGAACAGGACACUAAUCAUUAUAUGUUGUUACUACUGUAUGAUACUGAGAGAACAGGACACUAAUCAUUCUGUUGUUACUACUGUAUGAUACUGAGAGAACAGGACACUAAUCAUUCUGUUGUUACUACUGUAUGAUACUGAGAGAACAGGACACUAAUCAUUCUAUGUUGUUACUACUGCAUGAUACUGAGAGAACAGGACACUAAUCAUUCUAUGUUGUUACUACUGUAUGAUACUGAGAGAACAGGACACUAAUCAUUCUGUUGUUACUACUGUAUGAUACUGAGAGAACAGGACACUAAUCAUUCUGUUGUUACUACUGUAUGAUACUGAGAGAACAGGACACUAAUCAUUCUGUUGUUACUACUGUAUGAUACUGAGAGAACAGGACGCUAAUCAUUCUAUGUUGUUACUACUGUAUGAUACUG
rnacentral:lncRNA from 1 species